UACGAAGGGGGCUAGCGUUGCUCGGAAUCACUGGGCGUAAAGGGUGCGUAGGCGGGUCUUUAAGUCAGGGGUGAAAUCCUGGAGCUCAACUCCAGAACUGCCUUUGAUACUGAAGAUCUUGAGUUCGGGGAGAGGUGAGUGGAACUGCGAGUGUAGAGGUGAAAUUCGUAGAUAUUCGCAAGAACACCAGUGGCGAAGGCGGCUCACUGGCCCGAUACUGACGCUGAGGCACGAAAAGCGUGGGGAGCAAACAGGG
rnacentral:rRNA from 1 species